CAAAGCUUGCUGAGCAAAUGAGUUAUAAUGAAGAUUGAAGAGCACUACAGUUGUUUGAAAAUAGUGUUUAGUGUGUCCCCACCGUGUUAGUAAUGCGUUUACUUUACUGUAAAAUAUACCGGCGAAUUUUCGAAGAGUCACAAACUA